AGGAAACCAUUCAUACAACAAAACCAAGACACCUGUUUCACCAGCUGUUCAUGUUUUCUGUAGGUCCCACACGCCUUCCCAAAUCUCCUUUAUAAAUACAUCCCACUCCCUUCCAUCAUCAAAAUAUCUUCAAUAGAACAUCUUCUCCUCAAUUCACAUUUUCCACUUUUUUUCAAUUCAACUUUUUAUUGUUUGACACUUAUACUUUAACAAUGGCAUCAUCUGGUACGACUUUCAAUUUAUUUUCCUUCUUUUUUGUAUUUGUUUUCGCCGCGGUGGCCUCCGCCCAAGACCUCGGUCUCUCCCCCGCUCCGGCACCGGGUCCCGAUGCAGGAGCUGCCGGAUCUGUUACAGGUUCAGUGGCUAUUAUUGGAGCUUCAAUUAUGAUGUCGAUGUUUGCCAUCUUCAAGCAAUGAGAAAAACACCAUAUGAAAAUACUAUUAAUAUGUUCUAGACAAAGAUGAUUCUUAUUAUUGUUUGACAAUAUAGAUCUGAUUAUUACGAGUUCAUCUAUUUUAUUUAUUUAUGUAUUUAAUCAUUUAUUGUAGAUCAAAGGGAAAAAUAAAGAAGGAUUUUUAUAUCCUUGUUCAGUUUUCUUUUAUUAUUAAUUUUAUUGCUGUUAUUAAUUAUUAUUUUUUUUAUAUUAUUGUGUAACAUACAUUAAUUAAUACAUAAACACCGAUUUUAUUUCCUUGGUUUCGUAUUCAGUAUUCAAUUGGUAUUAUUGAAAUAUAAAAUUUCGUUUGGUAUUUAAUUGGGAUUUCUCAUGUUUUAUUUAGUAGUUUAAAUUAUUAACAUUAAAUACUUUCAUA
rnacentral:lncRNA from 1 species